GAAGCAGGGCAGGGUGGGAUAAAAUCCAUGGGCUCACUCUCUUCCUGCCCUUUUGCCAGUGUUUCUCAUGGGUUAAACACAACAGGAGGACAGAGGACAAAAGAACCUCUGGAGAGGUCAUCUUCUGGGGCACAGCGCACAACAGAGAGGCAUGGCAGAGUCUGAGCAGAAAGGAAGAAGAAAAAUAAAGACAAUCACAUCUGGGAUGUCCAUUCUCCCUAAAAGAACCCAGGUUCCAAAUCUUUGGGUUCUUGGGCUUUUUAGGAGCUGGGGUUGAGUUUCUGCUUUGGAGAGGCCACAAGCCAGAGAAGAGUCCUCAUCUGUUUUCUCUUAAGUUCCUGAAAUCAGCUCAUCCCUACAGGAGCAGCAGAAGCUACACUAUCAAUCACCAGCUACUCUGAAGCACAGAAUUCCAGAACAUCAUGACAUCUGAGCAUUCUUUAAUGACUAAGGAUUGAUUUUAAUGAGUAAUAAGUGACUGUUGAUUUCAAAGAAAUCACAUUUUUAUUGUCUUAAUUUUCUCUUAUAUGUUUAUCUUCAAUGUUAUCUUUUUAUAUUUUGCAGAAAUUAUCUAUUCCAUAUUGCUGUUUCACUUAAAAAGAAAGUCUAUUUACAGUGAUGGUAAUUUUGGUCCUUGUAUGUAAAACUCCAUUACUGACACCUUUGGACUUACCAAAGACUGUAUGUUGGUGUGCACAUGACAGAAAUACCAAGUCUGUGGGCUCAUAUUCCCAACGAGGCUAAAUCUGCAACUCCACUUUUCUAAAGGUCACAAAACCUACUAUCAAAACAGUACAGGGAGCAGUAGAAAGUUGGUACACAUGUCCAGCUACAGAGGUGGCUGACAGUAAUAGGACCGGCAAAGCACAAUCAAAACUAGCAGACAAAAUAACUUUAACUAGCUCAUGAUGUUUUUAAGAAUCAUUUAUGAAUCUGAGUUAACCAGCUAAGAUAAUAAUUGUUCACAAUAAUAGAAUAAAUGUCUAUACCUACUGAAGAGCUGGAAACCAGUAUAAGAUACAUUUCAGAAAUUCUAAUAUCUGAAAUAGAGGCUUCUUUUAAAAGUUACCUUGAAAUGUUUGUAUUUAGAUGUUGCUGGAUUGUAGGCCUCAUUAUUGCCUGUAGUAUUGAUUGCAUCGGUCUAUUGCUCAUAUUGGUCAUGGAGUCAUUAAAAGUCAACAUCAGAUUAUCUUAAAUAUCAAAA